GACGAACGCUGGCGGCGUGCUUAACACAUGCAAGUCGAGCGGUAAGGCCCUUUCGGGGGUACACGAGCGGCGAACGGGUGAGUAACACGUGGGUGACCUGCCCUCAGCUCUGGGAUAAGCCUGGGAAACCGGGUCUAAUACUGGAUAUGACUCCAUGACGCAUGUUGUGGGGUGGAAAGCCUUGUGCGGCUGAGGAUGGGCCCGCGGCCUAUCAGCUUGUUGGGGGGUGAUGGCCUACCAAGGCGACGACGGGUAGCCGGCCUGAGAGGGCGACCGGCCACACUGGGACUGAGACACGGCCCAGACUCCUACGGGAGGCAGCAGUGGGGAAUCUUGCGCAAUGGGCGAAAGCCUGACGCAGCGACGCCGCGUGAGGGAUGACGGCCUCGGUUGUAA
rnacentral:rRNA from 1 species